rnacentral:rRNA from 1 species
AGAGUUUGAUCCUGGCUCAGGAUGAACGCUAGCGGCAGGCUUAACACAUGCAAGUCGAGGGGCAGCAUAAUGGAUAGCAAUAUCUAUGGUGGCGACCGGCGCACGGGUGCGUAACGCGUAUGCAACCUACCUUUAACAGGGGGAUAACACUGAGAAAUUGGUACUAAUACCCCAUAAUAUCAUAGAAGGCAUCUUUUAUGGUUGAAAAUUCCGAUGGUUAGAGAUGGGCAUGCGUUGUAUUAGCUAGUUGGUGGGGUAACGGCUCACCAAGGCGACGAUACAUAGGGGGACUGAGAGGUUAACCCCCCACACUGGUACUGAGACACGGACCAGACUCCUACGGGAGGCAGCAGUGAGGAAUAUUGGUCAAUGGACGCAAGUCUGAACCAGCCAUGCCGCGUGCAGGAUGACGGCUCUAUGAGUUGUAAACUGCUUUUGUACGAGGGUAAACGCAGAUACGUGUAUCUGUCUGAAAGUAUCGUACGAAUAAGGAUCGGCUAACUCCGUGCCAGCAGCCGCGGUAAUACGGAGGAUUCAAGCGUUAUCCGGAUUUAUUGGGUUUAAAGGGUGCGUAGGCGGUUUGAUAAGUUAGAGGUGAAAUUUCGGGGCUCAACCCUGAACGUGCCUCUAAUACUGUUGAGCUAGAGAGUAGUUGCGGUAGGCGGAAUGUAUGGUGUAGCGGUGAAAUGCUUAGAGAUCAUACAGAACACCGAUUGCGAAGGCAGCUUACCAAACUAUAUCUGACGUUGAGGCACGAAAGCGUGGGGAGCAAACAGGAUUAGAUACCCUGGUAGUCCACGCAGUAAACGAUGAUAACUCGUUGUCGGCGAUACACAGUCGGUGACUAAGCGAAAGCGAUAAGUUAUCCACCUGGGGAGUACGUUCGCAAGAAUGAAACUCAAAGGAAUUGACGGGGGCCCGCACAAGCGGAGGAACAUGUGGUUUAAUUCGAUGAUACGCGAGGAACCUUACCCGGGCUUGAACUGCCAGUGACUCAUGCAGAGACGCAUGUUUCUUCGGACACUGGCGGAGGUGCUGCAUGGUUGUCGUCAGCUCGUGCCGUGAGGUGUCGGCUUAAGUGCCA